CUUUGUUUCAUUUUAUUUAGAAAAUAAUAUAAUUCUGUCAUCAGGUCAUCUUAUUAUAAUUAUUUUUUUUUUUUCAAAGACAAAGAAUUUUACCCAAAGCCAGAUGAUCACUGACUGCUCAAGAGCUCCUUCAAGUGAUUGUUUCUUUUUAUAUAUGUUGUCUAGUACAGAAUAUACAUAUUUGAUCACAGAAUACAACCUUGGCACUAAACACUCAUUAUAAUACAAUAUAUCCCAUUUUAGGCAUUUUAAAAGUCCUUAGAUGCAGCACUGGUAUAUAAUAUUGAUGAAGUAAAUCACACCACAUUUUAAAUGAACAAAGACGUCUUUACAAAAGUAACAAUGAUCACCUUUUGUCUGCGAAUAAAAAUAAAGCAAAAUUUCUGUUUGAUUACAGCUGUGGUUACAGUUACCAAGUGGACUGAUGUUGACGUAAUAACCACACUAAACAAAUGUGACAAACCCAACCACAUACAUCCUCUCCAGCCGGGUGAUUCAUAGUGACAUACGACUCCGGUGGUCAUAUUUGCUAACUGACAUACAAUGAAUUGAACAUCUUAACAUGAUAAAAAAUAAACUUACAUCUGAAUAGACCUUCAUUUCAGCUCUCUAUUUUCAAAACACCUCUUUUGGUUUAAGUUCUACACAGAUCUGAAAGGCAAAAUGUGUUGACAUUCCCACCAUCACACACAAAAAGAGACAAACAUAAGCUUAUUUUGUACAAUAUUUCUGCACGCUAAAUCUCCCAUAUCCAGGCAGCAAAGAAAAAAAUUGUAGCAGAUCUAAACAUUCACUCAUUCUCACUCUCUCAUUGCCUCCAACCAUACAUCACUUCAGGGAUCAAAAAGAGCAUAAUAACCAAAUCGGACAAAAUAACAUUCAAAUUAACUAAUAACAUCUAAGUACGAAUAUUUCAGGUAUAUGGAAAGCCAAAUGGCCCACCUAAAGUUUAAGGCAGGAAUAUGCAUAAUAGAGCUGUAAAACCACUACACAUUUACACAUUUUUACUGUCAGUCUUCCCUUCAAACCUGCUUUUAAAAAGCCACCAAAGUGGUCAAAAAAUUCCCAUAACUUUUUAUAAAAAGGUGAUUACUUCCUGACAUGCCCUUUAUAGUGCUAGCAAACGGGCCGAUCAAUGGGCUCAUAUCCAGUGGUAAAACUCUACUCUAUAAUUGGCAUCAAAAGCAUUUAUCCAGUCCUUUGAUCUUAACACGGUGCAUAUUGCCCUUCUGUAAAAGAGGGACAUAAUAUAAUUUAAUAAUUAACAAAAUUCAAAGAAGUUACCUCAAACAGGAAGUAAUUGCAGAUGGUUUAAAUAAGAAUCGCAGCUGCAGAGCUUCACAAGUACCUUUGAAUGAAACAUUGAAUUGAUGUUGGACAAAUUGCUAACUCUGCUAACUAAAUUUUGACCCGACUGCAUUAUGCAAACAAAACAAAACAAAACAAAACAAAACAAAACAAAACAAAACAAAACAAAACAAAACAAAACAAAACAAAACAAAACAAAAACAAAAAAAACAACAACAACAACAACAACAACAACAAAAAACACGUUUUUAGAUUGAUAUCUUGAAGUCAGAUGUUCAGAUAAUAUCUUUCCGUUUAGAAUAACAUCUAAACACAUAGCAUGACACGCUGUGCUCACAAUCCUUAUAUAACACAAGAUCAUAUAAGCAUAUUUUCCACUUAUAUCUGUUUGACUGGUGCACAUUAAUCAUUUAUCUGUCAGAAGCCAUUUUAGUUGACUUCAGGUAUAUGCAGU
ensembl:lncRNA